GCCUGUAAUUUUCUAAUUCCAAUCUCUCUCUCUCUCUUCUUUUCUAACUAAUAACCCGGAGCAAGGAGCUCUCGAGCAAACGGACGCAAAGAGUCGGAGUCGACAAAGAAUUCGAAGCAAUUUUUUUUCUUGUUUUUGGGUAAGAAAGAAGAAAGCGAGGAGAAGAUUUAUAGGGCGGAGAUGAAUGGUGGAGGAGGAGAGGGGGGAGACGAGAUGGAGGAGGACGAGAAGGAGGAGAAGGGGAAGGGGAGGGAGAAGGAGAAGGCGGUGCUGAUGUGGGGGUACCUGCCUGGGGUCUCGCCUCAGAGAUCGCCGCUGCUGUACCCGGUGGCCGUCCGGAUGCGGGAAUCCGUCGCCGGAGAGGGCUGGAGGGAUGUCUGUGGAGGCGGAUGUGGCUUCGCCAUGGCCAUCUCCGAAUCGGGCAAACUCCUUACAUGGGGUUCAACAGAUGAUAUGGGUCAAAGCUAUCUAACUUCUGGGAAGCAUGAGGAGACUCCUGAGGCAUUUCCUCUUCCAACUGAGGCAGCCAUUGUCAAUGCAGCUGCAGGGUGGGCUCACUGUGUUGCAGUUACAGCUUAUGGAGAUGUCUACACGUGGGGCUGGAAAGAAUGUGUUCCAACUGGGAGGUUCGUAGGAGACCAGUCGUCUCCAGGAGCGACAUCUGAAAAAGAUGAAAGACAUAGUGCAUCAUUGAAUGAUCAAGUGAGCCCCAGGUCGCAGAUGUCAAGAACAAAUGCUGGAACUGCAUCUGGUUCUGAGAGUAGAGGUGGGGAGGAAAGCACAAAGCGCAGAAGGUUAUCUUCAGCUAAGCUAGGACAUGAAAGCUCAACAUCUGGUGAUGAAACUCUUUCAGCUCCCCCAUGUCUAGUGGCACUUAACACAGGAAUAAGGAUUGCUACAGUAGCUGCUGGUGGACGUCAUACGCUAGCAUUGUCAGUUUCAGAUGUUGGACAGGUGUGGGGUUGGGGAUAUGGAGGAGAAGGUCAGCUUGGAUUGGGUUCUCGUAUCCGCACUGUGUCUUCUCCUCAUCCCAUACCCUGCAUUGAGUCCGCUGCUUAUGGCAAGGACCGACCGCCUGCAGUUACCAAGGGGAAUAAGAUUUUAGAAGGGCAACCUUAUAAAGUCACAGGAAGCUGCAUAAAGGCCAUUGCUUGUGGAGGUCGUCAUAGUGCCGUUGUCACAGAUACUGGAGCACUGCUAACUUUUGGUUGGGGACUUUAUGGGCAGUGCGGGCAAGGAAGUACAGAUGACGAACUGAGCCCAACUUGUGUGUCAUCUUUGUUGGGUGUCGAGAUACGAGGCAUUGCUGCCGGUCUGUGGCAUACUGUCUGCACAUCAGUUGAUGGUGGUGUGUAUUCUUUUGGUGGUAAUCAGUUCGGGCAGCUGGGAACUGGUUCUGAUCAGGCGGAGAACAUGAAUAUGAAUGCAAGUCUUUCUAGCGAAGAUAUUAAUGCAGCUGUAUCCAAAAUGCUCCUGUUUGCAGACUCUCCCUAAGCUAUUGGAUGCUGCAUGUUUGGAAAACAGGAAUGCCAAAAUGGUCUCUUGUGGGGCACGUCACAGCGCCAUGCUUACAGAAAAUGGAGAGGUUUUUUGCUGGGGAUGGAACAAGUAUGGCCAGCUUGGCUUGGGGGAUGCAAUAGACAGAAACAUACCGUCCCAGGUCCCGAUCGAAGCUUACCACCCAACGAAUGUAUCUUGUGGUUGGUGGCAUACGCUGGUGCUUGCUGAAUCGCCUACCUGAACAUAAUUCCUGCACAUUGUUCUGCUUCACAAUUUUGUUAGGUUUGAGUAGGUUUCACUGAAUGCGACAUGUAUAUGCACAAAUUCUAGCAAUACAUACACAUGUGCCUGCAUGUAUCUCUUUUUUUUCUUGAUUGCCUUUGACAUGCUGCAGUGUGUACUCAGCCCAUCUAUGAUGAUUUAUGCAACGAAGCAGUCAUUCCUGUA